AACAGUCAGUGGUUUGCAAUGAACAUGCGGGAAUAACUUUUUACUUAGAUAACGGUCGUGUUUAUCCCAUAAAUGUCAAAAACAAUCAUUAACCGGUGUUUGUCAGGAAUAUAUUAGAUGCCUUAUUUAUACACAUUUGCCAUACAGAUUGAAAAUAGCCUUUCAACUUUAGGAGACAGACCAAGUACUAUUCACACUGAUCUGAUCUUACUCUCCUCAUAUUCCUUUCAGCUCUCCCCCAGAUUCUAUUGCUCACCUACAUGUUAGGGGCAACUUGCCAAUUGACCCAGCAACCUGCAGAUUUUUGGGUUGUGAGAGGGAACUGGAGCACUGAGGAAACACGUCCAAGUCGGAAGAACAUGCAGACUCAACACAUGGAGCUGCUGAGAAACUUCUUGACAAUGAAAAUGACUUUCUCCAGAUCUGUGAGUUCUCAGCUGUUUGAUGAGGUCAGAAUGAAAUCUACUGCCGGCAAGAAAUGAGCGUCAGGCAGGUACCAGCAUGCUAGCGGCCUUCUUAAAGCAGGGCAACUUAGACUAAAGCAGAAAGAGGUUAGAAGUGUCUGCAGAAAUGCCCGCCAACUGAUCUGCAUAAGACGUAAGGACACUGUCAGGAUUACUAUCUGGGCCUUGAGUCCACUCUCUAAGAGACAGAUCUUACAUCAGUAACAGACUUCCACUGACUGACCUCCAACAAUGACUUUCUUCCUUUAUGUGAAAUACUGCUCCAAAGAAUGGAGUAUUUUCCCUGAGAUGCACAUUGAUGAGAUUUACCAAAGCACCUUGAUUCCACCAUUGGUCAAUAUAAUUUAAAUUGCUGCAUGGAAUGUCAGUGUAUACCCUCGAGAGGUUUAUAUUCACUAAUUCUGUCUGAGGGGAGCACUCAAGAGCACAGAUCAGGAAACUAGAAUGUCAAUGACUUGAUCUUAUUUCUGUCACACCUGUAUACAAACCUGGCUGCCUACAUGAAAUAUGAUGCUAUUGAUCCUCAGGAUUUCAAUACAAUUGAGUUAGAUUUAUAUAUGAUCAAUUAAUUAAAAGAUAAAAUGAAAGGUUUCCAGUUAACUCCAUUGAUCAAAUAUGAAACUUAUUUUUUAUUAAAGACUCAAGAGAUACUUUGCUUGUAUUAAUAGACCUUAAAACACUUUGUAUUUUAAGUGUUCUUUCAUUCUAAGGAUUCAACAGCAUACUGCGUUAAAUUUAAAAGAGGUGGACUGGACCGCUCCAUUUGUGUGAAUGUGAUUUCAAAUCUAUAAAUUAAUUCUUCAAUAUAAACACUAUUAAAUGUGAAUUGUUUGUAAUACAUCACAAACAACACCUUUUUUACAGUCUUGUCAUGUGGCCAGGGUAGAAUCUUUAUUAUCAAUCUUUAUUAUCUUGUCAAGUCCAAUAACUUUUCAGUGAAUAGUAAAAACGUGUUGAAAUUGCUUUUGUAGGGAAUUCUAUUGACUUUUAUUACCCCUGAAACAAUUUAGUUGUCCUUCAAGAGAUAACAGAAUAAAUAAGACCAGUAAAAUUGAAUUAGU